rnacentral:rRNA from 1 species
GGGAAAAGCUCAAAUUUUGAAUCUGGCGGUUCACUGGGACCGUCCGAAUUGUAAUCUAGAGAAGCGUCUUCCAGCCCCGUGCCGUGUACAAGUCUCCUGGAAGGGAGCAUCAUAGAGGGUGAGAAUCCCGUCUUUGACACGGAUCCCGUCGGUGCUUCGUGAUGCGCUCUCGACGAGUCGAGUUGUUUGGGAAUGCAGCUCAAAUAGGGUGGUAAACUCCAUCUAAAGCUAAAUACAGGCGAGAGACCGAUAGCGAACAAGUACCGUGAGGGAAAGACGAAAAGAACUUUGAAAAGAGAGUUAAACAGUACGUGAAAUCGUUGAAAGGGAAACGCUUGACGUCAGUCUCGUCGGUCGGGGAUCAACCUAGGUCUUUUUCUGGGUGCACUUCCCGCUCGACGGGUCAGCAUCAGUUUCGAUCCCGUCGUACAACGGCGAGAGCGAAUGUGCCACGCUCCGCGGUGUGUUAUAGCCUCUCGUCCUAUGCGACGGUCGGGACUGAGGAACUCGGCACGCCCUCACGGCGCGUCCCAGGAUGCUGGCAUAAUGGCCUUAAGCGACCCGUCUUGAAACACGGACCAAGGAGUCCAACAUGCCUGCGAGUGUUUGGGUGGAAAACUCUGAGCGCGAAAUGAAAGUGAAAGUCGGGACCUUCGUCACUGGAGGGCACCGACGCCCGGAUCGACCGUCUUCUGACGAUCACUCUGCGGUAGAGCAUGCAUGUUGGGACCCGAAAGAUGGUGAACUAUGCCUGAAUAGGGUGAAGCCAGAGGAAACUCUGGUGGAGGCUCGUAGCGAUUCUGACGUGCAAAUCGAUCGUCAAAUUUGGGUAUAGGGGCGAAAGACUA